CAACGACACUAACCGACGUCUGCUUCAACAGCCUGGUAGGGCUGCAGCUGUGGAAGGUCUACAGCAAUGCGGUUCAAAGUACAGUACAAAGGAAAGAAGAAGUACGUCAAACUAAAUGGAGCCCCACACUCGGAAUUUCUUAAGGAGGCUAAAAUGAAGUUGAGUAUACCCACUGAAAAAGACAUAUAUUUACUGGAUGACACUGGAACAGAGGUCAAUGAAGAGGUCUUCAGUGACAUUCUGGAGGAAAAAACAGACAUCCUGUGGACGAUUGUUGACACUUUCAGUCACUGGAGCAUUUCUUUGAUGCCGAUAGCAAUGAGGGCUACAUUUUCUGGAAGCUUAAAAACACACAGCGAGAACUCAGCAGUAGCAGUAAAGUUCGGAGAAGGAGCUCUCAAACCUCAGACAGCAGCGGAUCAGAGUUGGAGUUGGAGUUGGAGAGGGAAGUGACUAAAGACCAACAGCUGGAGGGAGACCAGUGCUGCGAGGCCAUAACUCUAUUGAAACACACCACAGAUAAAGAACAGAUCUUCAUGAAAAUGAGAACAACCUUCCAGCACAGACAGAAGUUGAUCCAUGAUCCAGAGCGAUGCAGCACAGUGCUUACAGUUUUCCCAAGAUUCCUUGACACAAAAGGCUUUGUUCCACAAGACUUUGAGCUGUAGUUUGGAGCAGAGACUUCAUCAAAAUUCUUGGAGAAAUGGGGUACACUCCUGAAGGUGAAAAUCAUUGAGCAAGCCAAAAAACUCAGUAAGACCUCCCAGCUUGACUAUGUCAUUUAGUCUGCAGACAAGAACCCUGAUGAGGAUGGGGAUAAGGAGGUCCCAGGUGCAUCACAUGCUGAAAUCAGAGUUUCUCCUCCCCUCUUCUCAUGUUGGGAUAGUGACAUGGCCUCAGUUCUCCUGCUGGUCUACCUCCUGCCACCAAGUGGAAAGAAGGGAGCCAUGAAGAUCAAUAUCCCGGAAGCUGUGGAUCACGUAGUGAAGUUUCAUAAGUCAGGUCGAAGCCUACGAGAGCACUCUGGUCCAGCC